UACGUAGGGUGCAAGCGUUAAUCGGAAUUACUGGGCGUAAAGCGUGCGCAGGCGGUUAUAUAAGACAGUUGUGAAAUCCCCGGGCUCAACCUGGGAACUGCAUCUGUGACUGUAUAGCUAGAGUACGGUAGAGGGGGAUGGAAUUCCGCGUGUAGCAGUGAAAUGCGUAGAUAUGCGGAGGAACAUCGAUGGCGAAGGCAAUCCCCUGGACCUGUACUGACGCUCAUGCACGAAAGCGUGGGGAGCAAACAGG
rnacentral:rRNA from 1 species